rnacentral:rRNA from 1 species
GACGAACGCUGGCGGCGUGCCUAAUACAUGCAAGUAGAACGCUGAAGGAGGAGCUUGCUCUUCUGGAUGAGUUGCGAACGGGUGAGUAACGCGUAGGUAACCUGCCUGGUAGCGGGGGAUAACUAUUGGAAACGAUAGCUAAUACCGCAUAAGAGUAGAUGUUGCAUGACAUUUACUUAAAAGGUGCAAUUGCAUCACUACCAGAUGGACCUGCGUUGUAUUAGCUAGUUGGUGGGGUAACGGCUUACCAAGGCGACGAUACAUAGCCGACCUGAGAGGGUGAUCGGCCACACUGGGACUGAGACACGGCCCAGACUCCUACGGGAGGCAGCAGUAGGGAAUCUUCGGCAAUGGACGGAAGUCUGACCGAGCAACGCCGCGUGAGUGAAGAAGGUUUUCGGAUCGUAAAGCUCGGUUGUAAGAGAAGAACGAGUGUGAGAGUGGAAAGUUCACACUGUGACGGUAUCUGACCAGAAAGGGACGGCUAACUACGUG